GACGAACGCUGGCGGCGUGCUUAACACAUGCAAGUCGAACGAUGAGGCAGAGAUACUCUGACGUCGGUUCGAGUUUAACUUCGGAGUAAUAGCAGACUGGCGAGUACCGCGUGUUCAACCUACCUCUUACAAAGGGAUAGCCUCGGGAAACCGUGAUUAAUACCCUAUGACACGUUCAUAAGGCAUCUUCAGAAUGUUAAAGCUACGGGGGUAAGAGAUGGGCUCGCGUCGCAUUGGCUAGGUGGGGCGGUAACGGCACACCAAGGCGACGAGGGGUAACCGGGAUGAGAGGGGGAACGGUCACAUCUGAAAUGCGACACGGUCCCAUACGCGACGGGAGGGAGCAGUGGGGAAUAUUGCACAAUGGAGGGAGAUCUGAUGCAGCGACGUCGGGGAAGAGAUGAAGGAAUUCGUAAAGUAAAGCUGUGUUCUAUGGGAAGAAAAUGACGGUACCAGAGGAGAAAGCCCCGGCUAACUACGUG
rnacentral:rRNA from 1 species